ensembl:ncRNA F13H8.13 ncRNA
UUUGAAGCUAGACGACGUCGCGGAUGAGAGAGCAAAGAGACGCAGUAUGCUAGUUGUUGGAGAGAACGAAAAAAUGAAAGAGAAGUCGAGCUUCUCCCUAUUUCGCAUUGCUCCCGCUUUUAAGCCA